UACGUAGGCAGCAAGCGUUGUUCGGAGUUACUGGGCGUAAAGGAUGCGUAGGCGGCUUUUUAAGUCUGGUGUGAAAUCUCCCGGCUCAACUGGGAGGGUGCGCCGGAUACUGAGGGGCUAGAGUGUGGGAGAGGAAAGUGGAAUUCCUGGUGUAGCGGUGAAAUGCGUAGAUAUCAGGAGGAACACCUGUGGUGUAGACAGCUUACUGGACCACUUCUGACGCUGAGACACGAAAGCGUGGGUAGCAAACAGG
rnacentral:rRNA from 1 species